GGGGGUGUCCUGGCUUCGACGGGGCGUAGGACGCUGCGCGGUGCAUGCCGAGGUCUGGUUCCUCGUUAAACAACUAGAAAAAAUAUAAACGCCAAUAACGAGCGUUUCGCUCUCGCCGCCUAAGGGCCGCGAGCGGUGCACCGGAAGGUCUCUGGUCCGGCUUGGGUAAAACCAAGGGCACCGUCAUAUACAGGGACUAAGAGGUGUCGGAGUCAUGACGAUACCUACGAAAAUUUUAGUGACUUGCUCUCGGUAGGCCCGUCCAUCGGCAGUACCAAGAGUGAAAUUUAAAUGAUUGGGCUAAGCAUGUAGAUCCGGCGGAAGAAUCGUUUCGGACA
rnacentral:tmRNA from 1 species